AGAGUUUGAUCAUGGCUCAGGAUGAACGCUGGCGGCAUGCCUAAGACAUGCAAGUCGUACGAGUUGGCCCACUGAUUAAUAUUGAAACUUGAAGUGCUUGCACUGAUUGCGGAUUUAUUAUGACGUGGAUUUUCCAACGAGUGGCAAACGGGUGAGUAACACGUGGGUUACCUACCUCAUAGAUUGGGAUACCAAUUGGAAACGAUUGUUAAUACCGAAUGUUAUCUACGGGGAUUAAAGGAGCCCUUAAAGCUCCGCUAUGAGAUGGGCCUGCGGUGCAUUAGAUAGUUGGUGGGGUAAUGGCCUACCAAGUCAACGAUGCAUAGCUGAACUGAGAGGUUGAUCGGCCACACUGGGACUGAUACACGGUCCAGACUCCUACGGGAGACAGCAGUUAGGAAUAUUCGUCAAUGGGGGAAAACCUGAACGAGCAAUGCCGCGUGAACGAUGAAUGUCCUCUGGAUUGUAAAGUUCUUUAGUCUGGGAAUAAAGUGUGGCACGUGUGCCAUUUUGUAGGUACCAGAAGAAUAAGGACCGGCUAAUUCCGUGCCAGCAGCCGCGGUAAUACGGAAGGUCCGGGCGUUAUCCGGAUUUAUUGGGUUUAAAGGGAGCGCAGGCGGCCUGUUAAGCGGGCAGUGAAAGACGGUGGCCCAACCAUCGAGGUGCUGUCCGAACUGACAGGCUUGAGUACGUUCGAGGUAGGCGGAAUUCGUGGUGUAGCGGUGAAAUGCUUAGAUAUCACGAAGAACUCCGAUUGCGAAGGCAGCUUACCAGGACGCCACUGACGCUAAAGCUCGAAAGCGCGGGUAUCGAACAGGAUUAGAUACCCUGGUAGUCCGCGCGGUAAACGAUGGAUGCUCGCUGUUCGGUCUGUUAUGGACUGUGCGGCCAAGCGAAAGCGUUAAGCAUCCCACCUGGGGAGUACGCCGGCAACGGUGAAACUCAAAGGAAUUGACGGGGGCCCGCACAAGCGGAGGAACAUGUGGUUUAAUUCGAUGAUACGCGAGGAACCUUACCCGGGCUUGAAUUGCGGAUGCUGCGGCAAGAGAUUGACCGUGUCCCUUCGGGCGUCC
rnacentral:rRNA from 1 species